ACAGUGGUGAUUUAGUGGUAGGAUUCUUGCCUUGUGUGCAGGAGACCUGGGUUCAAUUCUUGGCCAAUGCU
rnacentral:tRNA from 1 species